CUAAUCUCCUGUUGGCUGACUUACAUCAGUUUGGGAAGUUGUUCAUGAUGACUCUGCGACGAUCAAGAAGGACCAGGACUCUCCCUGGACACCUCAGGGACUUCUUGCUGGAGGGCACCAUGUCGGACACCUCCGUGGAGCAGCGACACCUGCGGAACGCGGCUGUCCUUCCUGCCCUCCGUCCUGCAGCUUCAGUCUCCCCAGUGGGUGAGUGUCCACAGGAGGAGCCCCUCUCCAUCCACGGUAGGAGUGUGCAGGAAUUUCAGACCGUCUACCACAGUGUGAUGGACUCCCCCGUGAGGAAGCGUGCAGGUCGGUACACUCUUCAGCACGGACUGGAGGUAAAGCAGCGGCUGUGGGAGAAGCUGGACCGGCCUGCACUCCUGGAGACCGAGCUGCCUGAUGGACGUGUGGUCAUCACACAGGUCAGAUCCAGGUCCAGUGUCCCCCCUCACAUCGUGGUGGACAUCAGCAAGGAGCCGCUGCCCAAGGAGCCCCCGAGGAAGAAGCCCAGGCACUGAGCCAUCCUAGUGCCAGAUGGAGGGUCAUGGGCACGAAGAAGUUCCUCAGACAGGAAGUGAAGAGCAGCACUCUGGGAAGCCCUGCUGCUGCUCCUGAGCUUCUAGAGCACUUGCAGUCCAGAUACUGGAUCUCUGCUCACCUGCACUUGACUCAACACUGAUGCAGCACCAGAUUGCAGAUUGUGGAGGAAGCUCCUACGUGAA
rnacentral:lncRNA from 1 species